UACGAAGGGGGCUAGCGUUGCUCGGAAUUACUGGGCGUAAAGGGCGCGUAGGCUGUGCUGUAAGUCAGGCGUGAAAGCCCCGGGCUCAACCUGGGAAUUGCGCUUGAUACUGCGGCGCUGGAAGGUGGGAGAGGAUGGCGGAAUUCCCAGUGUAGAGGUGAAAUUCGUAGAUAUUGGGAAGAACACCGGUGGCGAAGGCGGCCAUCUGGCCCAUUUUUGACGCUGAGGCACGAAAGCGUGGGGAGCAAACAGG
rnacentral:rRNA from 1 species